UACGGAGGAUCCGAGCGUUAUCCGGAUUUAUUGGGUUUAAAGGGUGCGCAGGCGGGAGAUUAAGUCGGCGGUGAAAUUUUGCAGCUCAACUGUAAAAGUGCCUUCGAAACUGGUUUCCUUGAGUGUGGAUGAAGUAGGCGGAAUUUGUGGUGUAGCGGUGAAAUGCAUAGAUAUCACGAGGAACUCCGAUUGCGCAGGCAGCUUACUAAACUACUACUGACGCUCAGGCACGAAGGCGUGGGGAUCAAACAGGAUUAGAUACCCGCGUAGU
rnacentral:rRNA from 1 species